rnacentral:lncRNA from 1 species
GUACCUUGAUAAUAACCAACUUCAAGGUUCAAUCCCUUCUUGUGUUGGUAGUUUAUCAAAGAUGCAGUACUUAAGCCUUGAUUCUAAUCUAUUAAAAGGUCCUAUUCCCCAAGAAAUUUGUAAUCUAGCAAAUUUAACUUCAUUGUACCUCUCCCAAAACAAAUUGACAGGUUCAAUCCCUUCUUGUAUUGGUAGCUUAUCAAAGAUGCAGUACUUAUGACUUGAUUCUAAUCUAUUAAAAGGUCCUAUUCCCCAAGAAAUUUGUAAUCUAGCAAAUUUAACUUCAUUGUACCUCUCCCAAAACAAAUUGACUGGUUCAAUCCCUUCUUGUAUUGGUAGUUUAUCAAAGAUGCAGUACUCAAGCCUUACUUCUAAUCUAUUAAAAGGUCCUAUUCCCCAAGAAAUUUGUGAUCUAGCAAAUUUAACUUCGUUGUACCUCUCCCAAAAUAAAUUGACUGGUUCAAUCCCUUCUUGUAUUGGUAGUUUAUCAAAGUUGCAGUACUUAAGCCUUGCUUCUAAUCUAUUAAAAGGUUCUAUCCCAAAAGAAAUUGGCAAGCUUUUUGAUCUAUCAAAUCUAAACCUUAGCUUCAACCAACUCUCAGGUCCUAUCCCUAUCUUGUCUGCUACUCAUCUCUACAUUGUCGACGCUGGAAAUGGUUGUCAAAAGAUUUUUCCCGAUCCAUUUGAAGGCAAUAGUGAUUUAUCACCCUAUAUGUGUCCUACUCCAGUUACCAAAAAAGCCAACAGCAGCAGAAUUCCUUACCAUUUCAAAAUAUUCCUCCCUAUUGCGAUCUUAUUCACAAUCUCCAUUUUAGGAUGUUUGCUAUUUUCACGGUUUAAGCUCAAGAAUAACCAUGUCAACGUACAACCAACCAAGAAUGGGGAUUUGUGUUCCAUAUGGAACUAUGAUGGAAAGAUAGCAUACGAGGAUAUCGUUGCAGCAACAGAGGAUUUCGACUUCCGAUACUGUAUUGGAGUUGGUGGUUAUGGUAGUGUUUACAAAGCAGAACUCCCUUGUGGUAAAGUAGUUGCUUUGAAGAAACUUCAUCAUUUAGAAGCCGAAAAUCCAACUUUUGACAGGAGUUUCAGGAACGAGAUCAAGUUUCUAUCAGAAAUACGACAUCGAAACAUUGUGAAGCUUCACGGGUUUUGUCUACACCGACGAUCCAUGUUUUUGAUCUAUGAAUACAUGGAAAAAGGGAGUUUGUUCUGCAACCUAAGGGAUGAAGUGAAUGCUGUGGAAAUGGAUUGGACGAAAAGAGUAGAGAUCAUCAAAGGCAUAGCACAUGCUUUGUCUUACUUGCACCAUGAUUGCUGCCCUCCGAUAGUUCAUCGAGACAUAUCAAGUAACAAUGUUCUUUUAAACUCAAGUUUUGAGGCCUUUGUGGCCGACUUUGGAACAGCUAGAAUGUUGGAUCUUGAUUCAUCUUAUCGGACCAUUAUUGUCGGAACUUGUGGCUGCGUAGCUCCAGGUGGCGUUUUCUUUUUUUACUUGAUUUACUGACCUUUUCUCUGAACAUAUAAUUGAAUUUCUUCUUACUAAUUUGUGUAUGUAGAACUUGCUUAUACAAUGAUUGUCACCGAAAAAUGCGAUGUUUAUAGUUUUGGAGUGGUAGCACUGGAAAUAUUGAUGGGAAAGCAUCCUGAAGAAAUGUUAUCAUGGUUGUCAUCACCAACUUCUUUGGUAAACAUGAAGCUGAUUGAUGUGUUAGACAACCGUUUACCACUUCCAACAAGCCAACUAGUUACACAAAAUCUUGUUCAUGUUGCUACACUGGCUUUCGCUUGCUUAAAUCCACAACCGAAGUCCAGACCAACAAUGAAGGAAGUGUGUGAAGAGUUCCUUUCUCGCCAUACAUCCUUGGGAAUUCCUCUUCGGAUGAUCUCUUUGUUACAACUCAUGAACCGUGAAAUGCAUAUUGGAGGCAAAACUAAAACUUGUGGUGUUUGAAGUCCAUGCGCUUUUUGAUUAGAUACUGUUUAUCAUACUCUGAUAACUUGUUUGUAAACCAUCUCUGGUUUUAUAUAUGAUGGAAUGAAUUGCAAUGUUUAAUAAACCUGUUUAUUCGGUUGCUUUAGAAGACAUAAAUUCUGCAAUUUGAUCCAAAUAUUAAGACAUCAUCGCUGGCUGCUUCCUUGAAUUUUGUGCUUCUUUCAAACCAACUCAAAGAUAAAUAACAUAAAAGUAAAUUAAGGGUGAAUUUAUCAACCACUGCACAAGUAGUGUGUAUUUCUUUUGUUAUGCAUAUAAGCACAACUCCUCAUAUAUGAAUUAUCUACCAAAUACUCACGAAAGGCUUUUCAGAAAAUAGUAGUUAGUAAAGCCAUCCAGGAGGGAAUAUGCUACUAACGUGGAACGGGCAAAAUUACAUGGUAAAUAUGUCUUCAUGAGACUGCUGUAUUUCUUUAAGAACCAAAAGCACCAUAAGUGAAGGCAAAAUAGUUUAUUGUCUCAACUCUUUAUAUCCCCAUACCUCAUUGUGCAAUGAAUAAAGUACAUCAAGCAGGGAUUUGUCCCUGGCCAUAAAUAUAUCGCACUGGUCUUUGCUUUAUACAAAUUUCUUGAAACACAACUCUGAAAUUUUAAUAUUUGGAACCCCUAAGCUACCUGAAAUAACUGCAAGUUACCAUGACUAAAGUGCAUACAUACAUAUAUGAAAGUUUCUCAAGCAAUGAUAAGAUAAUUAAUUGCUAAAAAUCUUUAUUGAUUUUGUGGAGAGACAAUCAGACAAGUCAUGUCAGAUUAAUGAUGGGACAAAAAGGUUUUCUGGACUUUUAAAAGUUAUGAAUGCAUCUAUCAGGCUCAAGCAUUUCCAACAUCUAAUUUAUGGCUUACAUCUCAAAGCAAUGAAUGCAAAGCAUCAGGCUUAAAGAUCAUAAUAUGCACAAAAAAUGUAGUGGCCCUACAAGGUUUGCAUCAUGUCAUGCAUGCAUAGAUACAUUACAUUACUACAAGCAAAUUUACAGCUUUAUUGGUCUACAACACGGUAGCAUAAUUAGAAACUAUCAAACAUGUCGGAGCGUGCAUGUCUGAAUCUACAAAGGCAAAAAUAUACAGGUUUCUUCUCACUGCAGUAUAGUAUAAACAAACUUCUAUUGCCUGUAAAGGAUGGAAGAUGCUAACUCAAGCCUUACAACAGUGCAUACAUCACAAGAUGCAUGCGAGCCAAUGGUGCUUCAAGAGACAUGAAAAUUUACACAGUUAGAAUCUUCACGUUUACCCCGAAAAUUCAGACUUCAAACAAUAGAAAAUGGUAGACGAACUAGCUUUUAUAGUGUCAAACAUGCUGCAUUACAACAAAAUAUUCAGAUUGUUCUUCUCCGGUAAAACAAAAGGUUAACAUUUAGGGAUUAAAACAAACGGAAAAUGAAAAAAUAAUUGGAAACAGACUAUUAAACAAAAUAAUUUCCAAUAUAUAUAUGCUAAAUAAAAACCCAAAAUGGCAAUCGGUCUUGAAUCCCAAUCACUUAACAAUUCAAGAAACAAAUUCCAAUUCCAAAAAAUCCCAGUCUCUUAACAAAACAAAAACCAAAUAUACCAAAUACCCUUUCCCUUACACACAAAAGCUAAUUCAAGAGAUUACCAAAAAAAACACUAAUUCAAGAACCAAGCUUGAAAAACAACCAAAACCCCCAAUUAAAAUCUUGGUCAGCUUACCCUGAAAAAUCACAUAGAAAGAGAAAAAGAGAAACUCACAUGUGGCCAUGGAGAAAGCAACGAAUUUACAGAGUAACCAAAAUACAAUAACUUUGAAGAACAAAAAUAAUCAGGGAAAUAACAAAAGAGAAAAGCAAUAAGUUAAACCCCAUGAAGGAAAUUCCAACUGCUCAUUUACAGAGUAAUCAAAAUAAAAUAUAGUGAUAUAACUUGAUAGGAUUGGAAAGCUAGAUUUUGAAGUUUCUUCAAAAUGCAGACUUGGUAAGGACGACGAGAUAACAAGACUCGGAUUCGGAGAUGAGGCCAACGAAUAGAGAUGAGGAGGAGAGGCGGAGGCUGAUGGACAAAGAGGAAGGAGAACGACUGUUGUGAUGAGAGUGGAGGAAAAUGGAAAAUGUCUUACCGAAAUAAAAUUGGUAAGAAGUUUUCCAUAAAAGGCCGUUUCAUUUACCCUUGGUUUAGAAAAUGUUUUCUGAAGUAAUUUAUUUUUCAUCAAACAAAUACAGUAAAAUAAAAAAAAAUAUUUUACGGAAAAUAUUUUACUAAUAAAUAAACAGAGCCUAAGUAUUGCAUUGCAAAAGAUAUAAUAUCACCCAUAUCAACAAUAUAAACGGACAGACAUAUUAAAAUUUAAAUUUAAAUUCAUAAAAAUUUAUGUACUUAUAUUCAUGCAUUUAUUCAAACACAAGAAAGAUAUAUAAAUUUACAAGAACCAACACGAUGUCAAAUCAAUAUAAUUCCUUCCUUCAAUACAAACAUCGUGUGACAUCAACCAACAUAAAGAAGAUAACAAAAAGUAUGGCCUAGUUUCAGCACUCUUUUAAGGCAGUUACUAAAAGUUGUUUUCAACCAAGUUAAAAAGCAUAUCAAGAAAUCAAGUUAAGGAGGACUUCGAAUGAAAGUUGACAAGAAAUUUUGCAGAGAUGGAUGUACUAUCCACGAUCCGUUCUAACAAUUUGAUCUUUAGUCUUACCUUCUAUUAUAAGAAUGAGUAGCCUUUGUUUCUGGCAAUUUUUGAUUGGUUCCAAUACUCACUAAUAAGAAAGAUUUUUAUUUUCUGAAUACGUAUAUAACCUGAAUCCAUUCUAUAUCAACAACAACGAUAAUACACAUGAUGGAGUGAUAGAUUACAAGUUUCCAUACAAGAUUUCACACAUACAAUAAAAGAAAAAUAAGUGAAUUAAUUCCAUCUAAAAUGAAAUUAAAGAAAGCCAAAACUAAUGCAGUAGAACAGAUAAUUGAGAAUGUAGAAUUUUCUUAUAUUAGUUCCAUCUGUUUAAAAAAAAAAAGAUUGCAAGGUAAAUCAGUAGUAAGAAAGAAAAAUAUGGAAUACCCACAAAGGGAUUGCGAACAAACAAGCCGAUUUAGAUCAAAAAAAUCAGAUUGAGAAACCAAUUAUUCAAGAACCGUGAAAGAACUGGAAAAUAUAAUGGUUAGGAACAAAAACGAUUACCCUCUUUUUAUUUGUCAACAACCACUUGAUUUUAAGUCUUUGAACAUAAAUUUAUCGACAAAGAAGACAUACUUGGACCCUCCAUUGAAUCCAUCUUUUGUUUUUCUAUGUUGAAUAAAAAAUUCAAUCGAAACACACAAUCUGAUUUCUACUAUUUUGAUUCAAUACAGAUCAUAAUAGUUUUUUCAGUCAAAUGAAAAAGAAAACUAUUUUUCCUAUUUUAUGGAAAAUUAUCCUUUUUUGUAUAAUUAUAGGUGUUUCAUCUAUUUUAUGGUCCUUACAGUGCUGACACGACCGUUAACAACAUUAACGUGGCGCUUUAUGUCAGCAAUAGUUAGCUACAAUGUCAGCAAAAAUAAAAAAAAUAAAAAUUAAAAGGAAUAUUUAAAUUUAUUUUACUAGAAUGAACCUAAACAUAUAGUUGUCCAAGUUCAUUCGUUUCAAAACUUAAAUUUUUUUUAAAUUUAAAAAAAUUAAGUUUUUUAUAAAUGUGUACAACACUAUUAAAAUUUAAUAAAAAUAUUUAAAACUUAAGUCCCUAAUGAAUAUGUCCAAAUUCAUUCAAGAUUAGUUUCAAAUAUACUAAAAUUAAUUUUCUUUAAAAAUUGAUAUGUGUGUCAAUAUUUUUCUAUUGCUACCUCUUAGGAUGAAUAAUAUAUAUAUAUAUAUAUAUCAAUUUAAAGAAUUUAAAUUUUAUUAAUCAUACUUCUAAAGAUUUUUUAAAUGUAUGAAUAUAUCCAAUUAAAACAGUGUAUCUAUUAUUUCAUUACAUGUGUAGCCUAAAAGGUUUAAAAAAUUAGAUAUAUUCAUACAUUUAAAACAACUUUACACAAACAAUUAAUAAUAUUUAUUUUUAUUUAUUUUCUGAAAUAUAUUUUUUUUAAUUUUUAUACAUUCUAAAAUGUACCAAUGGAAUUAGAACAUUGAUACACGUAUCAAUUUUUUUAAAGAAGAUUAAUUUUUAAUAUUUUUUAAACUUUGUACAAUUUAGAAAAACUUGAAUGAAUUUAGACAUAGAAUUAACUUGUAAUUGGUUUUUAUUAAUUUUUAUUUUUUUAAUUUAUUUAAUAUUUUAUAAAUUUUAAUAAUAUUUUAAAAUUUUAUAAAAUUUUAAAAAACAUUAUUUUUUAAAUAUUAUUUUUAAUUUAAAAAUUUUUUAAGCUUCGAAACAAAUGAACUUGGUACUGCGACAUCAACAACUAUUCCUUUUAAAAAUUUUAAAUAUUCCAUUUAAUUUUUUUUAUUUUUGUUGACAUGGCAGUUGACGUGGUAUUGCCACAUAAGCAACUAUCGCUAACAUGAAGCACCACGUUAACGCUGUUAAUGGCCACGUCAACGUUGUAACGGUCAAUAUUAGUCAAAGGGCCUAUUUGGCCAAUUUUGUUAGUUCAUGGGCUCAAUUGGGUGCAAAAAGUUUGCAAGGGCUUAAUUGAUUUUUUUGAAAAAGUUUGAGGACCAAAAAUACCAUUAAACCCUUCUUUAACUAUUGAUAUUUCUUUUUCUAAGUAUCGGUCAACAUUAGUUAAAGGACUUAUUUUGUCAGUUUUGUUAGUUUAAGGGCUCAGUUGGGUGCAAAAAGUUUGCAGGGGCUUAAUUAUUUUUUCGAAAAAGUUCGACAAUCAAAAAUACCUUUAAGCCCUAGUUUAACUAUUGAUAUGUCUUUUUUAAUUAAUUUUGCAUUCGUGCAUAGUAUAGGCACACGAUGUAUGGGGUAUUUCCACGUAUACAUGUAAAGUGUAUUUUGAUGCCACGGCGAAAUUAGAUGAAAAUGUGAUUAUUAAGGUAGUAAUGUAACCUUCUAGUGUCACGGGCCUCAGUGCAAAGCCCGUGACCAUGGCACAAGAUGCGCCCCAUGGAGGUCUAUCAAUAAGAUGAGGAACAUUUAGCCCACAAGAGCUGGCCCGAUUCAGAUAACUAUUGGAGAAGCCUAUCAGAUUGAAGCCUGGUUGGCCCAAUGAUGAAAACAUGGCAACUUAGGCUAAUAUGGUAACUAAUCUUAGAAGAUAGAGAUAAUCAUAUCUUGUAAAGAUUAGAUUUGAUUUGAUAUAGCAUAUCUUGUAAAAUCCCUAAAAUUAAGGGAUAUGGUUAAUCUUGUCCGUCGAUGUAAAUGUAUCUUGACAGUCGAUUUUGGGGGAGCUCAACUAUAAAUAGAGAGCCUCCCCCUCAUUUGUACUCAUUCCAUUGUAUUCUGAAUUCUUAAGAGUAAUAGAGUUCUGAGAGCAUUUACUCAAACACCUUGUGUGCAUUCUUUUUUUUGGCUUUCUAUUGUUCUUUGACUUAGCUUCUUUUGGCCUAAAUCGUUUCCGCUCUUCAAUUGGUGCCUUGGAGGAGUUCUUAAGGAAUCCUCAUUUGAGUUAAGGCUGACUUAGGCGAGUUUGGACGAACGGAUCACCUAAGGCCACACGGGUUGCGAGACGAAAACUCUAGCCCCGUGACAAGUGGUAUUAGAGCAAGGUUUGAACCAAGUAAUAUCUGAGUUGUUGGUUCAAAGGCACUGUUGGGAUGUCGAAAGAAGUUGUUGGUCAGAAUGAGCCAAUGGAGACCCGAGGAAGGGCCAGAAAUGUGAGUCGAUCAAGGGACUUAUUGUCAGCUUUAGAGGAUCGAGUUGUCACUCUCGAAGAGUCCAUGGGGGACGUCAAGGAAAGGAUCGACGAUGUCGAUGAUAGACACAAUGAUGGGUUACGAACAUUACAGGAACAACUCAGGGAAUUUGUGUGGGACACUAUCGGUUCCUCUGAGAAUAAGCUGGCUGAAAAGAACGAUGCUCUCGAGGCUAUGGUGACAGCCUUGAAGGAGGAGAUCAAUGAGCUUAAGAGGGAGCUCAAGAUUUUCAAGGCUGCCAUAGGGAAUGGAAUGUUGGUUUUAAAUCUGAAGCCACAAGCAAUGGAUAUGCCCAAGCCGAAGGCGUUUAAAGGGGCAAGGUCUGCAAGUGAAGUGGACAACUUUUGUUGGGCCAUGGAGCAAUACUUUUGUGCGAUGAACAUCGAAGAUGAUGUCACAAAGGUAAACACUGUUGCUAUGUAUUUCACUGAUGUUGCUUUGUUAUGGUGGCGACGUAGGUCCACUGAUGUGAGACGUAGUGGGACCGAGAUUGGGACUUGGAAGGAGUUCCAAAGUGAAUUUAAAGUACAGUUUUACCCCGAGUAUGCCGAGGACGAAGCUCGAGCAAAGUUGCGACGGCUAAUGCAACGAGGCACGGUUAAGGAGUAUGUACAGGAGUUCAGUAAACUCAUGCUCCAAAUCUCUGAUUUGAGCGAGAAGGAAGCAUUUUUCUCCUUUACAGAUGGGCUGAAACCAUGGGCGAAGCAAGAAUUGCACCGUCGAGGAAUUUAGGAACUUACCAAUGCCAUAAUGGUAGCGGAGUCCAUAGUGGAACUUGCUCCGAGAAGGGACAGGUUUGAAUCUUCCAAGCCCAGCAGGAGGGGCAAUGGUGGGUAUCAUGAGGAGGAUGAAGAGGGACAAAGCUAUGAUGGCAACGCAAGUAGUAGCGAUGGUGAUGAUAGGAAACCACAAGUUGGGAAGAAGAAACCCAAGAGGAAAAGAGACAAGCUGAAAUGCUUUCUCUGCGACGGUCCACACAUGUUGAAGAAUGUCCAAAAAAAUCCGCGCUUAAGGAGAAGCCGGUGGGAAAGGCCUUGGUACUUGGUUCAAGUGCAAGGGGUGUCGAAGCCAAGGAGGCCGAAAGCGAGAAAAAGCCAGUGGAGUUCUUCUUGCGUCAUGGUCUGUAUAGGUUGCGGAAGUGUCCAAGGAAGUCUAUCAUCGAUGGGAAUGAUGGAGUAGACAAAGAGCCCAAGAAGCUUGGUUCGAGCAAGGGAAAAGCCGAAGCCAAGAGGGCAAAGAGGAGCAAAAAGAAGCGAGUAAAGUGCUUCUUGUGCCGUGGUUCGCAUGAGAUACAGAACUAUCCAAAGCAAGCCAGAGUAAAAAGAAAGGCAACGUCUGAACUUGGUGAGUCAUCAGAGGGACUUCCACUUAAGGAAGAGGUGAGUUUGUCAUCGGACUUAGAGGAAAGAGUUACGAUGAAAACAGUGAAGUUGGGACCAAUGAGGCUCAAGUUGAGUAAAGCGUCGGAGUUGGCCGAGUCAUCGACUAGGCUUCCACCUAUGGGAGAGGUGGGUGGUGCAUCAGACUUCAAGGGAAAAGAAGUGAUGCAUGUGGGACAGUUGACCAGAGUAAAUACGAAGGUACAUUUCGAACACUGUGAUAGUGUUUUGCAUUCUAACUUGUUGACUUGGCAAGAACGUAGGGGCCCUUUCGAAGUUCUUGAGCAGAGAGGCCGAGAGACUGUGGGUAAAGCGAAGCCAAGUGUGGUGAAUCAAGAGGAUUCUGUUCGAGCAAAGUUAGAAUGUGGACAAGAGAGUGACAUAACUUCUUGUCAUCGAGAUGCACAAACGAGUAGGACGGUUCGAGUGAAGAAGUGACGUAAGCCGAAGCAAAAGUCCCGAAAGAAGGAAAAGGCUAAGGCGUUGAGACGAGAUCGAGGCGAAUCAAGCCAGUGCCAUUCGGAAGUCGCAACAAGGACGUUGCGAGAAUGGGUGGGGGAGAAUGUCACGGGCCGCAGUGCAAAGCCCGUGACCAUGGCACAAGAUGCACCCUAUGGAGGUCUAUCGAUAAGAUGAGGAACAUUUAGCCCACGAGAGCUGGCCCGAUUCAGAGAACUAUUGGAGAAGCCUAUCAGAUUGAAGCCUGGUUGGCCCAAUGAUGAAAACAUGGCAACUUAGGCUAAUAUGGUAACUAAUCUUAGAAGAUAGAGAGAAUCAUAUCUUGUAAAGAUUAGAUUAGAUUUGAUAUAGCAUAUCUUGUAAAAUCCCUAAAAUUAAGGGAUAUGGUUAAUCUCGUCCGUCGAUGUAAAUGAAUCUUGACCGUCGGUUUUGGGGGAGCUCAACUAUAAAUAGAGAGCCUCCCCCUCAUUUGUACUCAUUCCAUUGUAUUCUGAAUUCUUAAGAGUAAUAGAGUUCUGAGAGCAUUUACUCAAACACCUUGUGUGCAUUCUUUUCUGUGGCUUUCUGUUGUUCUUUGGCGUAGCUUCUUUUGGCCUAAAUCGUUUCUGCUCUUCAAUUGGUGCCUUGGAGGAGUUCUUAAGGAAUCCUCAUUUGAGUUAAGGCUGACUUAGGCGAGUUUGGACGAACGGAUCACCUAAGGCCGCACGGGUUGCGAAACAAAAACUCUAGCCCCGUAACACUAGUAAACGUAAAGAAUUAUAAUUUUUCUAGAUGCAUUUGGCUAGUAGAGUAUAAUUAUAUUGUAAUUCUUUGUGCCUUGUUUAGUAAUAUAAAUUGUAAUUGCACAUUUACAAAUUUUAAAUUGUUUAAAAAGUAUUAAUUACUAUAAAUAGUUAUCAGUAAUACCUGAGAAAAAAUUUUAAACAAGUGACAUAAAUUAAAAUCAAAUCAUGUUCUGUUAGUCCAAGAAAGUAACCGACAACACGAUUGCCGAUAAAAAAGAACAAGAAAACUAAACAUCAUAUGCAACUUUAUUAUUGCUCUAGCAUUCCAUGUUUGUUGGGUUAUUCCUUUUCUAACAUUUAACAUAUACUUCUUAUCAUCAUCUAUUAGUUCUUGACCAAUUUCUUCAUUGUUGAUACAAGGUACAACAAUGGAGGGGAGUAAGGAGGAUGUAAGGUGGAGUGAGUGGUGGAAAAGUAUUAAUAAGAGAGGUUCUCUUGUCCAUUAGCAUGACAUGGCAGGAUAAAUGUUCAGUCCCACCAAAUGUGUAAAGGAUAUUCAUGAACAUAAAGGAUAUUCAUGAUGGGGGCACGUUAUGUUACUCAUUCGAUCAGUACAAGGUUAAUACGCCCAUGCAAGUCCUAAUGGCCUCAAGGAUUUGUUCACACCAAAAAAAAAAGGGUGCUAGCCUUUCUAAAGGGUUGGUGCUCCUUUGAUCUUAGUGGAUGGUUCAGCGAGACAUCUUCUUAGGCAGACUCAAUGAGAGGGUUAAUGUUGUCUAUACAGUUGACACGUGUCCAUGUGGCGGGGGUAUAAAAUUCAUCAUCUAAAUCAAAUUUUGAAUAUGCAUAAUUAAGAUUAUCCAGAUCAUUUUUUUUAUCUGUAUCAUUAAGACUAUCAAGAUCUAUUUUUUUUCCAUGUAUUGAUUGAAAGCAUUGAUAAUUCCAAUUCCACCUAUAAAUGGAAUUGUGAAGUAUACAACAAGUUCGAACGAUUGAACAUUGUUUUUUAGACUAUAUUGAUGUGGUUUGUUAAUAUGGGAAAUAUUUUUUUAGAACAAGAAAUAUCCUCUCAACCACAUUUCAAAGCUUUGAAUAAAGAGUUUGCGAGCCUUGUUUGGUACUUGUGUCUAGCUGUGUUCGUUCAAAUGAUAUCGUACCCCAUAAUAUACUGCAAGAAAACCUUUUGCAAUUGCAUAAUCAACAUCUACCACAUAAUAUUUCCUAAAAACAUGUAACAAUUUAAAUAAUUUGUGAGACAAAUAAAAUAACAGCAAGGUGAUGAUAAUAUUAAUGUAUUUAUGAAAUACAAUUUUGAUCUAUUUUCUCUCCCAAACAUCAUUCUUAGCAUUCUAGUAUUUGAGGCACAAAUCAACUUUAAAAUCCUUCAAUUAUAAUAGUUUUUAUAAAUCCAAUUUGCGGUUUACUAUGUGUUCAAAUAAUAAACCAAAUUAGAUAAAAUAAAUAAUAUAAAUUUUCUAAUAUAACAUUUAUAAACAAUGUUUUCUAUAAAGUGUUGAAUAGCUUUUAUGGUGCUUAUGUUAAAGUGCUCAAAUAUGUGGCCAUACAAGAAUAGUAUAAAAAUUAUAAUACAUGCUUUAUAAGCACAAUUUGUUAGGUUAAAAUUUGUUUUAUAAAACAUAGGAGUUAAGUGAGAUGAAAAGGGUUUCUCCUACCUCAAUCAGUAAUUGAGGGUUUGAUACUGUAUUGGAGUUGGUGGUUAUGGUAGUGUUUACAAAGCAAAACUCCCUUGUGGUAAAGUAGUUGCUUUGAAGAAACUUCAUCAUUUAGAAGCCGAAAAUCCAACUUUUGACAAGAGUUUCAGGAACGAGAUCAAGUUUCUAUCAGAAAUACGACAUCGAAACAUAGUGAAGCUUCACGGGUUUUGUCUACACCGACGAUCCAUGUUUUUGAUCUAUGAAUACAUGGAAAAAGGGAGUUUGUUCUGCAACCUAAGGGAUGAAGUGAACGCUGUGGACAUGGAUUGGACGAAAAGAGUAGAGAUCAUCAAAGGCAUAGCACAUGCUUUGUCUUACUUGCACCAUGAUUGCUGCCCUCCGAUAGUUCAUCGAGACAUAUCAAGUAACAAUGUUCUUUUAAACUCAAGUUUUGAGGCCUUUGUGGCCGACUUUGGAACAGCUAGAAUGUUGGAUCUUGAUUCAUCCAAUAAGACCAUUAUUGUCGGAACUUAUGGCUACGUAGCUCCAGGUGGCGUUUUCUUUUUUACUUGAUUUACUGACCUUUUCUCUGAACAUAUAGUUGAAUUUCUUCUUACUAAUUUGUGUAUGUAGAACUUGCUUAUACAAUGAUUGUCACCGAAAAAUGCGAUGUUUAUAGUUUUGGAGUGGUAGCACUGGAAACGUUAAUGGGAAAGCAUCCUGAAGAAGUGUUAUCAUGGUUGUCAUCACCAAGUUCCUUGGUAAACAUGAAGCUGGUUGAUGUGUUAGACAACCGUUUACCACUUCCAACAAGCCAACUAGUUACACAAAAUCUUGUUUAUGUUGCUACACUGGCAUUCGCUUGCUUAAAUCCACAACCGAAGCCCCGACCAACAAUGAAAGAAGUGUGUGAAGAGUUCCUUUCUCGCCAUACAUCCUUGGGAAUUCCUCUUCGGAUGAUCUCUUUGUUACAACUCAUGAACCGUGAAAUGCAUAUUGGAGGCAAAACUAAAACUUGUGAUGUUUAAAGUCCAUGAGCUUGUUGAUUAGAUAUUGUUUAUCAUGCUCUGAUAAUUUGUUUGUAAACCAUCUCUGGUUUUAUAUAUGAUGGAAUGAAUUGCAAUGUUUAAUAAACCUGUUUAUUCGGUUGCUUUAGAAGACAUAAAUUCUGCAAUUUGAUCCAAAUAUUAAGACAUCAUCGCUGGCUGCUUCCUUGAAUUUUGUGCUUCUUUCAAACCAACUCAAAGAUAAAUAACAUAAAAGUAAAUUAAGGGUGAAUCAAAGCAACAAAAUGCAAUCAAUACAUACAUCAAGAAUUCACCUCAACUAUCUAUAAUUCAUGAAACAAUCUCUCAACUUAUAAAAUGUAAGUGAGAUUCCACAGACCUGAUAUCCAAACUCAAAAGCAAUAAAAGGCGUCAUCAGAACCCUGGCAAGUGAAGACGACAUUCUUUUCAAGCAAGGUAGCGAUACAACUUCCUGUCACCUUUAUCCCUCUACAGGAACUCACAUUAGUAUACAUUUUUAUUUAACAUAUUAUAUAAAUUACACUUUAUAAAUCAAAAAAACAAAUGAAACUCUGAGUAUUACAUAUAUAAUAAUAUACUGCAUAUUUCCUAAAAAAUGAUAAUAUACCGCACAUGUUACAAUGCAUUUUCAAAAAAAAGAAAAAGAAAUGUGACCAUAAUAUAUAAUUUAUAUUACAAACAAAGGUACUCAUAUUUUAUAGUUCAUCAUUUUUAAUGUUUGGGACUGUAGUCGGCCAUCACGAUUUGGUUGGUAACAAAUGAAUAUAUUAUGGAUAAACUAUUAUAGAGUUUACAAAAUUACUGCUUUUUAGUCACUCGAUUAUAAAAAGUUAUAAAAUAGCCAUUUAAUUAUUAUUAAAUUACAUUUUUGAUUAAAUGCAAAAAGUACAUAUCUUAUGUAAUUUAAUUGGUCAAAUUAUGAGAAUGAACCAUUGAUUUUCUCCAUGUUUAUAUUAAAUUUUAUACAGGGGUGCAAUUUGGGGUCAAAAGAGAAAAAGGAGAAGCAAUUGGGCUAGAUUGAAGAAAGGAGCAAAGAAGGCGAGCCAAAACAGAAUUUUUCCAAGUUGUAAUUAGCUGAAAUUUUAUUUUGACUUAGUGGGGGAUUAUGUAGAGAUUUUGAUAUCGUAGGAAUAUGUUUUUUUCCUUGAUUUUCUAUGGCUAGUGGCCUUUAAUUUGGCAAAUUUGUUCAAAGCCACUAGUAUAAAUAGAGGGCUACUAUGUUCAUUUAAUCAUCAAGUUUUUCAAUCAAGUUUUUAAUCAAGCUUUUAUCUUUUGAAUUCAAUCUUCUUUCCUUUUUGCAAAUUUAUUUGCUGACAUUAAUUCCUUAUAUUUUUCCAUUUAUUAGUUUCCAGCUUUGGAACUACUGCACCCAAACCUUGCCUCACCCACAUACAUCCACUUACAUUUCUUUUUCAUUUAUCCAACCCUCUCCAAAUAUGCCCAACUCCAACAUGCCCCAAACCUAGUCAACUAAACCCAUUUCAGCUUUAGGUCGGUGUUAACUUCGUCUAGACCGGUGAGUUAUGAACCCGAGCAAUUUAAAUCCUGAAUUCUAGUAUUUAUUAUUUCUCUGGAUUAAGAGUAUGAUUUCAUCAACUCACAAAGUCAAAUCAACACUAAGUCAAAAAAGACGUCGUUUGAGUUAGUGUGGUUAGACGUACAAUUGGGAUUCCGAAAGGAUCGAUUGUCUAAUCAGUUUUCCGUGAACACAUUGGCGUGCCAAGUGGGGAUUCUUGUUUGGUUCCGUCAAGGGAAGUAGUAAUCGGAUUUAAAUGUCCCACGCGAUUGAGGGCAUUGGUUCGUGCUAAGCUCUUCUAGAACGCAAAGAUGUAGGAGUUCUAAAUCACGAACGUUUUGUAGGUUGUUUGAUCGGCAAUGGUUAGUUAUAGGACAUUUCAUAACUAAUUUACACAAGGAAGAGUUGGUGUCCGAGGUGUCUUUGGUAGCUAUAACUAGCUUAUUGGAAAAGAGAAGUUCAUCUAAUUUCGAGGAUCGGUUCAAAGACGGAAAAACUCAUGCCUGAAGCUGAGCUAAAUUUAAUUGAUUUUUCUUCAAAUUUACUUAACUGUUUUUAUUAUUUAAUUGUUUCCAGCUUUUACUUUUUACGCAUUUUUUCCCCUGUUUAUUUCAGGUUUCAAAUUUUAUCCCCCCAAAUUUCUUGGGCAUGACAACUUCCCAAACAUAAAUAUGGUCGAGAGAGAGAAACAAUUUUCAGUAAUCUAGUCUCUAAGGGAUUGAUCCUACUCCCUAUAUUGCUCAAAUUUGCAAAUUAGGUGUAGGAUUUUAUUGGUGGAAUCAACAACCAUCAGUUUUGGCGCCGUUCCCGGGGACUGGCAACACUCACAAUUGUUUAAAUCGUCUUCAUGACUAAAUCUUCAUCCAGAGAUCUCGAAUACGACCCAGAGAUUUGAGAAAUCAAAAUGAGCACGACGAAAAAAGACAGAAGCUCUUAAACAUGCAAGUAAAGAAAAAGUUGAGCUAGGACAAGGGAUCUUAGAAUCCGACGUCGAAAAGUUGAGCUAAGAAAUUCGGGCAGAGGCAAUUCAACGUGGGAAACAAGUCAAAGUGGUUGAACCUGAGACCGAACCACUUUUUGAAAAAAAGAAGCAGAAGACAACCUCGGUGAACCAGAAAGGAUGGAAAACCGAACCAUUCGUCAACUAGCCACAUAAGCAACUAUUCCUUUUAAAAAAUUUAAAUAUUCCUUUUAACUUUUUAUUUUUGUUGACAUGGCAGCUGACAUGGUAUUUCCACAUAAGCAACUAUCGCUAACAUGAAGCACCACGUUAGCGCCGUUAAUGGCCACGUCAAUGUUGUAACGGUCAAUAUUAGUCAAAGGGCCUAUUUGGCCAAUUUUGUUAGUUCAGGGGCUCAAUUGGGUGCAAAAAGUUCGUAGGGGCUUAAUUGAUUUUUUUUGAAAAAGUUCGAGGACCAAAAAUACCAUUAAACCCUUCUUUAACUAUUGAUAUUUCUUUUUCUAAGAAUCAGUCAACAUUAGUUAAAAGGCCUAUUUUGUCAGUUUUGUUAGAUUAAGGGCUCAGUUGGGUGCAAAAAGUCUGCAAGGGCUUAAUUGAUUUUUUUGAAAAAGUUCAACGAUCAAAAAUACCUUUAAGCCCUACUUUAACUAUUGAUAUGUCUUUUUUAAUUAAUUUUACAUUAGUGCAUAGUACAGGCACACUAUGUACGAGGUGUUUCCACAUAUACAUGUGAAGUGUAUUUUGAUACCACGGAGGAAUUAGAUGAAAAUGUGACUAUUAAGGUAGUAGUGUCACCUUCUAGUAAUUGCAAAGAAUUAUAAUUUUUUAGAUGCAUUUGGCUAGUAGAGUGUAAUUAUAUUGUAAUUCUUUGUGCCUUGUUUAGUAAUAUAAAUUGUAAUUACACAUUUACAAAUUUUAAAUUUUUUAAAAAGUAUUAAUUACUAUAAAUAGUUAUCAAUAAUACUUGAGAAAAAAUUUUAAAUAGGUGACAUAAAUUAAAAUCAAAUCAUGUUAUGUUAGUCCAAAAAAGUAACCGACAACACGAUUAUAUGCAACUUUAUUAUUGCUCUAGCAUUCCAUGUUUGUUGGGUUAUUCUUUUUCUAACAUUUAACAUAUACUUCUUAUCAUCAUCUAUUUGUUCUUGACCAAUUUCUUCAUUGUUGAUACAAGGUACAACAAUGGAGGGGAGUAAGGAGGAGAUAAGGUGGAGUGAGUGGUGGUUUUGUGGAGGCCAGUUCACUUAAAGAGGCAGAGAGCUAGAAAGGAAUAAGAGGACAAGCUGAUUGCUGAAAGAAAAGAUGGUUGUUCAGAGUAACUUUAAGGGUUGGAAAAUCGAUCCAUUCUUCAUCGUUGGAAAGGUAUUUAUAAAAGAGGCCCUCUUGUCCAUUAGCAUGAUGUGGCAAGAUAAAUGCUCAGCCCCACCAAAUGUGUAUAUUCACGAACAUGAAGGAUAUUCAUGAUGGGCCCUAUUCUAUUAUCCAUUCGAUCAGUACAAUGUUGUUACGCUCAUGCAAGUCCUAAUGGCCUCAAGGAUGUGUUCACACCAAAAAAAGGGGUGCCUAACCUUUCUAAAGGGUUGGUGCUCCUUUGAUCUUAGUGGAUGGUCCGGCGAGACAUCUUCUCAGGCAGACUCAAUGAGUGGGUUAAUGUUGUCUAUACUGUUGACACGUGUCCAUGUGGCGGGGGUAUAACAUUCAUCAUCUAAAUCAAAAUCUGAAUAUGCAUCAUUAAGAUUAUCUAGAUCAUUUUUUUAUCUGUAUCAUUAAGAUUAUCAAUAUCUGCUUUUUUUUUCAUGUACUGUUUAAAAGUAUUGAUAAUUCCAAUUCCACCUAUAAAUGGAAUUGUGAAAUAUACAACAAGUUAGAACGAUUGAACAUUGUUUUUCAGACUAUAUUGAUGUGGUUUGUUAAUAUGGGAAAUAUUUUUUUAGAACAACAAAUAUCCUCUCAACCACAUUUCAAAACUUUGAAUAAAGAGUUUACGAGCCGUGUUUGGUACUUGUGUCUAGCUCUGUUCUUUCAAAUGAUAUUGUACCCCGUGAUAUACUGUAAAAAAACCUUUUGCAUUUGCAUAAUCAACAUCUACCGCAUAAUAUUUCCUAAAAAACAUGUAACAAUUUAAAUAAUUUGUGAGAAAAAUAAAAUAACAGCAAGGUGAUGAUAAUAUUAAUGUAUUUAUGAAAUACAAUUUUGAUCUAUUUUCUCUCCCAAACAUCAUUCUUAGCAUUCUAGUAUUUGAGGCACAAAUCAACUUUAUAAUCCUUCAAUUAUAAUAGUUUUUAUAAAUCCAAUUUGCAGUUUACUAUGUGUUCAAAUAAUAAACCAAAUUAGAUAAAAGAAAUAAUAUAAAUUUUAUAAUAUAAUUGUUAUACCUAAUUUUAGCUCGGGCUCACAUAUGGAAACAUAUUUUUUGAGGAUAUGCAAUCUUAUAUAUGAUAUGCAAUCCUAGAUAUGAUAUAUGCAAUCUUAGAUAUGAUAUGCAAUCUUAGAUAUGAUGUAUAAUCUUAGAUAUGAUAUGCAAUCUUAGAAGAUAUGAUUUUGAAAUCUUAGAGAUACCCUUUAAUCUCAGCCGUUGAUGUAAUUGAUCUGUACCGUUGGAUUUGGGGAGGCUCAACUAUAAAUAGAGGCCUCUCCCUUCAUUGCAUGAGGAGAAAAAAAGAGGAAAGGGAGGAAUAAAAAAAGAGAACGAUUGACAGUUUUUUAAAGGUGGCUUACUAUUUUUUUCGUUUGAUUAUUUUGUACUUAUUUACAAUUUUAAAAAAGGAGAAGGUGAUACCACUACGAAUUUUAUUUAUUUAUUUUUUAUUUAGCCCCUCCGCCUUUUAAUGUCUUUAUAAUUAGGUUUUUUUUAUUUUUUUAAAAAUUUUGCCCUUUAAUUUAUUUUAAUUUCAAUUUAACCCUUCUUGAACGACACCGUUUUAGAGGAGAAGGGAAAAUUUCCCUUCCAGCCCCUUUAUGUAAUUCGCGUAUUCAAUUUAGUCCUCCAGACUUUAUUUAUUUGCGAAAUUACCCCAUAUUUUUUAUUUGUAAUCCAAUUUAGCCUUUUUUUCAUAUUUUCUUCAAAAAUCAAUAUUUUUUUGAUGAUGCAAUUGUUCUUAUCUUAUAAUUCUUAUCUGUAAUUAUUAUUAUAUUGUAUAUAUGUUUUUUAAAAAAACAUGUAGUUAUGCCUUUUUUUAAUUAGUAUUUUUUUCGCGUACUUAUAUAUAUAUAUAUACUUGUUUUAUUUAUUUAAUUAUCUUUGAUAUUAUUUAUUUCAAACCUAUGUAUUUUUAUGUGCACUUGUAUGUAUUUUUUGUUAUUUAUUUUAAUUAUUCGCUUAUUAAUUUAUGUUUGCAUAUUUUCUGCUCAUUUAUUUAAUAUCUUUUGCAUGUCAUUAUUUAUAUUCAAUUGUUUGUAUUAUUUCCAUGCUAUUAUUGUACUUGUUAUCAUUGUUAUUAUGACAUUUGCGCAUAUAAAAUAAUGUUACAUUAUUUUUUAGAAAAAACUCAAAUUUAAAAAUAUAAUUUUCAAAAUUGAGAUAAUACUCGUAUUUAGGAUUGCUCAAGGAAAUUGAGCCCUAACGUAUUGGGUUCCGAUUUUUUUGAAAAUCUAACAAUCGAGGAUUGCUCUUUAAACCAACUAAAAACUCAUUAUUGGGAAUUCAACACGUUGUGUCCUAACGUAUUGGAUGUGACGCAUUGAUUUCUCGAUGUAGAUUUUUUAAAAAUCAUAAAGGAAAUAUUCCGAGUUUGGGAUUUUUAAAGGAAUCGUGCCCUAACAUAUUGGGUGUGAUUUCUUAAAUCUUGGAUAAGUGGAUGUUCUUUUAAAGUAAAGGAAAUAUUCCGAGUUUGGGAUUCUAAAGGGAUCGUACCCUAACGUAUUGGGUGUGAUUUCUUAAAUCUUGGAUAAGUGGAUGUUCUUUUCAAGUUUUAUUGUACAAGUAUUUUGGCCCAAUUCAUUUUUGGGGGAAAAUUAGAAUGCUGUGCCCUAACGCAUUAGGUGUGGUAUCUUCUUUCUCUGAAAUAAAAAGGGUCUUAAUACGUAGCCUUUUAAGUUUUGCUAAGGAUUACGUUUUUCCAAAUUCUCGACCUUAAGAUACUAAUUAAUUAACCAGGUACAAAUUUUGGGCGUUACGAGGGUGUUAAUCCUUCCUCGAACGUAACUGACACCCGGAUCCGUUUUUCUAAAACUUGUAGACCAAAGCCGUUUUUUAGGUGAUCCAAUCACACCUCAAUAAAAGAUUGGUGGCGACUCCCAAAUUUUCAUUUUUUUUAAAGUCGACAACCUAAAAUUUUUGUUUUUCAAAAAAAUAGUUUCGACAAUAACAUUUAUAAACAAUGUUUUCUAUAAAGUGUUGAAUAGCUUUUACGGUGCUUAUGUUAAAGUGCUCAAAUAUGUGGCCAUACAAGAAUAGUAUAAAAAUUAUAAUACAUGCUUUAUAAGCGCAAUUGGUUAGGUUAAAAUUUGCUUUAUAAAACACAGGAGUUGAGUGAGAUGAAAAGGGUUUCCUACCUUAAUCAGUAAUCGAGGGUUUAAUCCUCGCCUAAGUAUGGAGUAGCUUUAAAACUUGUGGCCAGCAUCUACCCCCUUAAUGGGCCUACAAAAUGCGAAGGAUUAGUUACCGGGCGCGCUUCGGUAGAUACAUUGAGGAAUCAAAAAAAAAAAUUACACCAAAUAUUUUGACUUAUGUGUCUAAUAACAAAGCAGUUUUGACCCGAUAAGAAAUAUAUAAUUUUAUUUUAAAAAAUAUAUAAAAUAUAUGUCAUAAAAUUAAAAUUUUUUAUUAUUAUUGUAUUAAAAUAAAUUUUAUAAACUUCUAUAAAAAAUAAUUUCUUAAAUCAUGUACGUGUGUUUGAAAGACUAUAAGAUAAUUAGUAAUUGAUUGUAAUUACUCACGUAAUUACCUCAACUCUCAACUCCCUAAGAAUUGAAUAGUAUAAUUGAGGUGCUAUUAUAUUCAAUUUAGUGGACCCAACAAUUACAAUAGUUAGCCAAACAUACUAUUCCUUUGUACUUGCAAGUAAUUACACUUAAAUCUAAUAAUUAAUUCACAUUAAAUUUUUCAAAAUCAUACACUUUGGGGUCGAAAUUAAACUGAUUUUUUUUUAGUUUCCAAACAAUUGCAAAGAAAAUUCAUGAAAUUAAGUUGUUUUCAAAUAAUUAAUUCACAUUGGAAUUUUCAAAUAAGAUAUCACAUUACUAAUACUUCAAUCAUUAAAAUAUUAUAUAAGACAUUUUGCCUUAUACAGCAAAAUAUGAAAAUACUAAAACUUAAUCCAGUUUAAUCAUUCUAAAGUUUCUAAUUUUGUUUAAAAGUAUUUUCAAAUAUAUAUGAUUUUAAAUUUGUAUAUUUUAACAUGAAAUUCAUUAUAUUGUAGUAAGAUUUUAAUGUAAUAUGUUUAAUUUUUUUAAUUUAAUUCAAACAAUUUCACUCGAUUCAGCUCGACUCGAAUUUUAUUUCACUCAACUCAAUUUGAAAAAAAAAUUCUAAAUUGAAUUAAGAUGAUAAAAUAAGACUUGUCAACUCGAUUAACUCAAAAUUAUUUUACUCAAUCACCGCUAGCAAUUGCAUCCUUGAUACUAAUAACAACAUAAAAAUGUAUACUCAUCUUUUCAAAUUAAUAUGCAGCCACGAAAUGGAAAUUUCCAUGAAAAAAAAACUAUUGCAUAUGAAAAAGUAAGUUCCAUGACAUCGACUGAAGCAAUAACAACAAUUGCAAAAAGACAUUGACUCCUAUAGAAAUCCAUCAGUUUGGAAACUAUAACGUAUAUGCUACAACUGGGUUUUUUUCGUGUGUCACCCGUUAGGAUUUGAAUUAUGUUGGUAAUAAAUAUAAUCUAUUUUAAUUAAAAAAUGAGUAGAAUUUAGUAAUUUAUUAUGACCCAAAUUAUUGGUAAAGUUAAAAUUAAUUUUUUUUCGAACAAAAACUUUCGGUGCUCAGUACUUAUGUGUAAUUCAAUCUUCUCAUCAUAUAUUCCGAAUAAGCUAAAAGGUAUGGCAUGGUGUCUACCUUUGCUCAUCCAUGUCAGACUUGCAACUCCUUGUAUUCACCUUGAUUGUCGGCCUUCACUAAGGACUUAUAGUUAUACAAGUCAAGAGCAAAAAGAUAUGUCCCCUAAUAUCACUUUGGGUGAUGAGUCCUUUCUGAACCAUUCCAUCACCUUCAUAUGUCAUACCAUACCUAAAACAUUCUACUUUCAACAUCUAUCAAUGCGAAUCCAUUUGGUGAUGAAUCAAAGUAUGACGGUCAACAUACAAGUUUGUGUCUUAAGUCUAAGGAUCAUUUACACUACCAAUACAUGGGAGUAUUUCUAUAAACAUUUGAGUGAAAUACCAAAUGGAACUCUCAUAAUAGGCCAAGUUAUAUUUUAUAAUUUUUUCGAACUUUUUAAAAUCAUUAAUAUUUUAUUUUUUAUAUUUGUAAUACAAUAAUUUUAUAAUUUUUUUAUAACUUUUACAUUUUAAAAAUAUUUUAAUAACUUGAACAUCAAUAUAUACUUCCACACGGCAUGUCACAUGUCAACUUGCCAUAGCUUCCGUCAACUAAUCAACAACCAAUAUUGAUAAAAUCAGUCAACAACAAUUUUCGUUAUUGAAAAGAGCCAAUUGAUUUUUUUCCAUUGAAUCCUCAAUUGGGUCUGUUUUUCUAUUAUGAGCUUAAUUAAUUUUUAACUUUUUAUUAAGUUGUUUUUCCUUUAACCUUAUAUUAAUAUUCAUUACUUUAUUAAAAAAAACUUACUUUUAGGUAAUUUUUCCAACCAAAAUGAUAUCAAAUUAACUCGUAACAUAAAUUCAAUAAAAUAUAUUAUAUAAACAUAUACAUAAAUUCAUUAAAACCUGUCAAUAGUGAAAACACCAUUAAUUUGUCUGAAGUCUCUACUUUUGGGAUCUUAAUGGGGGAGAAAAUUUUUAGAUAGAAACUGAAUACGAUAUAUAAAGUAAAUGCCACGUUAAAAGCUCAGUUCUUUGGAAAAUAAAUUCCAUCACGACUGAACCAAAAAUUCCCUUGUGUCAUAAUCUUUUGUGGAAAAUUAGGCACAUAAUGGAAAAGUAUAUCCACAAAAUGAUAGAAAAAGGCUUUGGGCCACAAUUAAAUCAACAUCUUUAAAUUGUUAAAUCAAAUUAAAGAUGGAAUCGUCGUUGUCAUGGGAUCCACACGGGGUGUACGUAUAAUGAAUUUCCCAUGUUUUUUGCAUGAAACUUUUGAUUCAAUGAGAAAGGAAAUAUUUUCAAAAUCAUGCAGCUUCGGAUUCUAAUUAAGCUUAUUUUUUUCCAAGCAAUUGCAAAGAUUUGUUUCGACAACAAAUAAUAAUCGGAUAAAAGUGUAAUUAUUAAAUAGUAAUUACAAAAGAUUUAUAAUUACAAAAUUAGAUCGUAAUUUUCUAUAUCAUAUUUCGUAGUACAAAUUGUAAAUUAUAAUUAUAAUUACAUAGUUACUUAAUAUAUUUUUUUAAAAUAUUAAUUACUAUAAUAAAUUAUCAGUAAAAUUAAAAAAUUUCUAAACAAGUAACAAAAAUUAAAAUAAAAUCAUCAUAUUUAAUAUGUUAGCCCAAGAAACUAAUCGAUAAUGAUUACUAAUAAAAUUAUAAGAAAAAUGAUUUAUUUUAGGUUAUAACAAAUAUAUAUUUUUUUUUUGAACAAUGAGAUUUGAACCUAAGCAAUUCCUUGGAAAGAUGAAUACUCGACCAAUAGACUACAACUUAAAGUUUUUUAGAAUAUUAUAACCAUUUUUAUAAUUCAUGAAUUAGGUUAAAAUAGUAUAAAAUUUUAAUAUAUAACAAUUAUAAAAAAAUUAUAAAGUGUCCAAUAACUUCCAAAACACUUCUUAUAAAUAAUAUUUUUUUAUCUUUUUUUUUUUAAAUAAGUCAUGGCAAAAAAUUAUAAUUGUUUAUAAAUAAAUAUUAUUUUCUAUAACAUAUAGUAUAGACACAUAAGUAAGUUAUAUUUAAAUUUUUUGACCAUAACUUUUUUAUAAGUAAGUAUGUAGUACACUUUUUAUAAAACAUAAAUUAUUUUUAUAAUAUACUUUUGGCCUAUAACUUUAGAAACUUUUUAGGAUUUAAAUAAUAUAAUUCUUGUCAUAACUUUAUAAAAUAUUAAAAAUAUAUAAUAGUAAUUUUUAGAACUUAUAAUAUGAUUUUAGAAAUUUUUAUUCAUAAUCAUCCUAAACACGUAUGCGUAUUUAUGUUUAUAAAAUAAUUUUUUAACUUAAAUUUGUAUAAAAAAUAUUUUUUAAAGUUAAAUUAUGUAUGAAUUUUCCGUGAGAAAUUAAUAUAUCGGGAAACAUGCGUUGACAUAUACUUUUGAUAAAUUCAAAUCAGGAGGUAUCAUAAUUAUCAAGAAAUAUGGACCAUAGGAACAGCAAAGAUUCAAUCCUAUAAUAUAGUAUUUGCAUUAUUGAUACUAAACAUAGAAAUUCCAUGAAGAAGAAAGCAUUGCGCAUGAUGAAUUAAGUUCCAUGACAAGGACUAAAACAAUGACGAUAACUUGCCCCUACAACUAUUGCAACAAGAGCUUGAAUCCUUUGAUGAGUUCCUUUAAAUUCAUCGUUUGGAAACCAUAACAUAUAUGCUACCACUAAAUACUUACCAGAUUAAACAAUGGCCUCAUCCCUAACCAUUUCUGUUAUUCUAGGGGUACUGUGGGCUGCCAUCCUUCUUUCCUUUGCUACAACUGUAACAGCAGCAUAUCCAUCGCCAUUGGAGUCCGAAGCCAUAGCUCUGCUAGAAAGCAGGUGGUGGAGUAACCAUAGCAGCAAUACUUCACAACGUUGCCAGUGGCCUGGUAUAACCUGCAACACUGCUGAAAGCAUCACCAAAAUUAACUUAUCUGAUGCGCCCAACAUUGAGGUUGGAGAUAGAUUUGGGAAACUGAAUUUCUCUUCAUUUCCAAAUCUUGUCCUUCUUGAUCUUAGUGACCAUCAACUUAGAGGAAAAAUCCCGCAUCAGAUAGGUGAUCUAUCAGCAUUGAAGUACCUUGACUUGUCUUAUUGUGGUUUAUCUGGUGAGUUACCUCCUUCUCUAGGGAAGCUGACCCAAUUAGAAUUCCUCGACAUUUCCUAUAAUGAUAAUAUUAAUGGUUCCAUCCCUCCACAAUUGGGGAAUCUAGAGAACCUUGUGACUUUAAACUUAAGUCAAUGUGGAAUUGUUGGUCCAAUCCCUUCUGCUUUGGGUCAAUUAACCAGUCUCCAAUCUCUGAUCCUUUGGGGGAACCAAAUCAAUGGAUCUAUCCCAUUAGAAAUUGGAUAUUUGAGAAAUUUGACUUAUUUGAGUCUCUCCAACAAUAGAAUUGUUGGUCCAAUCCCUUCUGCUUUGGGUCAAUUAACCAGUCUCCAAUCUCUGAUCCUUUGGGGGAACCAAAUCAAUGGAUCUAUCCCAUUCGAAAUUGGAUAUUUGAGAAAUUUGACUUAUUUGAGUCUCUCCAAGAAUAGAAUUGUUGGUCGAAUCCCUUCUGCUUUGGGUCAAUUAACCAGUCUCCAAUCUCUGAUCCUUUCGGGGAACCAAAUCAAUGGAUCUAUCCCAUUAGAAAUUGGAUAUUUGAGAAAUUUGACUGAUUUGAGUCUCUCCAGCAAUGGAAUUGUUGGUCCAAUCCCUUCUGCUUUGGGUCAAUUAACCAGUCUCCAAUCUCUGAGCCUUUCGGGGAACCAAAUCAAUGGAUCUAUCCCAUUAGAAAUUGGAUAUUUAAGAAAUCUGACUUUUUUGGGUCUCUACAACAAUAGACUUGUCGAUUCAAUACCCAUUACUCUGUACCAAUUAACCAAUUUGGAAAUUUUGUACCUUGAUAAUAACCAACUUCAAGGUUCUAUUCCCCAAGAAAUUUGUAAUCUAGCAAAUUUAACUUCAUUGUACCUCUCCCAAAACAAAUUGACUGGUUCAAUCCCUUCUUGUGUUGGUAGUUUAUCAAAGAUGCAGGACUUAGCCCUUGGUUCUAAUCUAUUAAAAGGUCCUAUUCCCCAAGAAAUUUGUAAUCUAGCAAAUUUAACUUCAUUGGCC